rnacentral:misc_RNA from 1 species
GUGAAUCAUCAAAUCUUUGAACGCAAAUUGCACUCUCUUCGGAGAGUAUGCCUGUUUGAGGGUCAGUAUUAAUAAAAAUCGGUGUGUUGCUUCUUUGUGACGCUCCGGAGUUUGGGUCAUCUUAAUAUCCUUUAGGUUUUAAGAGGCUUAAAAUUGACUUUUUUGCGCAUUUUAGAUUUAAAAUAAUUCUUUUUUUUAUUCGUUCGUCCUAAUGCUUAAAAUCCUAAUAAAUUCGGAUCA